UUCAAGUCGUGGAAACAGCAUCUUGCAAAAAUUGCAAGGAAAGGCUGCGUACAAUGACCCAAUGUGGUCUGACCCCUCCCCGGACCCCGCGCAAAGCGGGAGCUUCAUGCACCGGGCUGCCCUUUUUAUUAAAACUGUUUCUGUCGACUUUCUGUCUGUAUCACGAUGCUUAAUAUAUUUGCCUUCCUUCUCACGAUGCUUCUCUUGUGUCAUUUCUUUCUUUGCAGUAUCCACAACAAAACGGUGCAGCACCUCACCCUUGAUGGUAGCUGCUUGACGGAUGUCCGCAAGAAAUUCUUCAAUCUUCAGCUGGAACGGUGUGCUCGGUGCUCCACCACCACUUCACAUCUUCUGCAGUAUGAAGCAUCAACUCAUGAAAUCCUAAUUAAUCAGUAGCCAUAAAAAACAGUAAACUGAAAAUGGUUCAUGUGUAUUUCACACGCAAACCAGAACUUAAAGAUGUUGUGAACGAUUUGAAAUAUCUCUGCAUGAGGUAUGCUAAGGCCACUCCAUUGCAAAUUUGCUCGCUGUUUGUGAAUAGAAAAGUGGCAAACCAGUGAGCUUCACACUUGAUGUGCAUUCUGUCUUUUGAUGUAUCUUAUUGUCUCAGAAGUUGUGCAAGGAGAUUAAAUAAAACUGUUUGCCAUGAGUAUGUUUUAGUAGAUGGGAUUGGAAUGGUGGCCUGUUUUCCGUAGUCUAUCACUGCGUACUCGAAGAGAUAGAAUUGUGCAUGCAACCUAUCUCCCUUUUCAGGACUAUAUUGAUUUUAGGACUUCAUGUUCCGUAAGUCUGAUGCUUUUGUGUUUUAAUCGAUAUGUCUGGCUCCAGCAGGAUAUAAAAUAAGGCCGUGUUAGGCAUGAUAUUUGAGUUCUCAUUGUUUAGUCCUCACUGGUCUGCUGGAUUCUGUUAAUUCUGUAGGCAAAACCUGAUGGACAAGGAGAUAAAAGAGAGAAUAUCAUGAGAGGAGUGUUGUUUGGGAUGGCCUCCUUCCAGAGAUGCCACUCCCUUUCCUGCCAUGCCAGAUGCUAAUGUUGAAAUGAACAUGGUAAUAUGUUGGGAUGCUGCAUUGGAUACUGAAUAUGCUAGGAUGCUAUGAAGGGGUAUGGUGGGGUCACAUAAUUGCACCAUGAUGUGUGAAAAAAACAAGCUAGGAGUACACCAACAGUAGUUUCAAAUCUCAGUACAAACACGUGUACUCCUGGGAACAAGGUUGCAGUGGUGCCACUGGUGGCCAACAAGAUGGAGCUGCAGGCAACAGCUGCAACACAUGCACUUGAGAUCCUGCAAUCCGUUACAUACACUCCUGGGGACCGUUGUGCAAGGAAAAAAGACAAGUCGCUACUGCAUCGUAGCCUACACCUACUGGAGCAGGCAGAAUUACUUCAAGUUGGUUCCUUCUUCCUUGAGCCUCUCUGAUGCCCUGUAAUCAACUAGAGGAUGAAAACUGCUUUAAUCUCGCAUUUGCCUCAUAAAGCUUGAACUAUCACCCUGUUACUUUGUGGUUUCAUGCCUGCAAUUAAAUCUGGGGGACCCUUUGAUCUCUUAAUAAAUCCAGUUCAAUGUUAGCUUUCUGGUGUGGCGGUGGUCAUGCACCUAAAACCAGAUACUUUACAGACGUCUAGCAUGUUUGUUGAUUUUAUUGAAGAAAAUGUGCAAGUCCAUUUUUGAGU